GUAGGUGAACCUGCGGAAGGAUCAUUAUCACGUAUCCACGUAUAAACCAAUUCGUGAACUGUUUUACCCCACCUCUGGGCUAUGGCCGCUGUCAUUUGGACACAUGAGUUCAUUGUAUGAUUAUGGACUCGUCCUUGGCAACUAAGGCUGUUUCUUCAGAGCGUAUUAAUCAUACUUUAACUAUUAACCACUUGAACACUAUGAAAAUUUAUCUUUGUUUGAACUGAUUUGUUUCUUACUCAGUGUGUGUGUAAUAGCAUCACACCGAGAAGAAAUCGAUUUACGAAACAAAAAAGAACAACUCUUAGCAACGGAUAUCUUGGUUCUC
rnacentral:misc_RNA from 1 species